rnacentral:rRNA from 1 species
AGUGAACGCUGGCGGUAGGCCUAACACAUGCAAGUCGAACGGCAGCACAGUAAGAGCUUGCUCUUACGGGUGGCGAGUGGCGGACGGGUGAGGAAUACAUCGGAAUCUACUUUUUCGUGGGGGAUAACGUAGGGUAACUUACGCUAAUACCGCAUACGACCUACGGGUGAAAGCAGGGGAUCUUCGGACCUUGCGCGAUUGAAUGAGCCGAUGUCGGAUUAGCUAGUUGGCGGGGUAAAGGCCCACCAAGGCGACGAUCCGUAGCUGGUCUGAGAGGAUGAGCAGCCACACUGGAACUGAGACACGGUCCAGACUCCUACGGGAGGCAGCAGUGGGGAAUAUUGGACAAUGGGCGCAAGCCUGAUCCAGCCAUACCGCGUGGGUGAAGAAGGCCUUCGGGUUGUAGAGCCCUUUUGUUGGGAAAGAAAAGCAGCAGGUUAAUACCCCGCUGUUCUGACGGUACCCAAAGAAUAAGCACCGGCUAACUUCGUG